AGGAGCGCCACGUUUGGUUGUUUGCAGAUGAGAUGUUAUACUGCAAAUAAUCAGUCAAGAUCAGUUCACAUUUGUUAUUGGAGAUACAGGGCAAGCGGUGUGGAAUCACAGACCUGUAUUGAUGAGCCCAGUGUCAGUGAAGAUGGCGUGGUCAGUGCAAUCCUGGUGUUUGUGGGAAAUAGAGGAACCUUGCCCAGCUUUCUACUACGGUGUGACCCUGAUGAGGUAAUUCAUCACAUCAACAGUUAGCAGUCAAAAGUUUACGUACACCUUGCAGAAUAAACUGCUUCAUCAGGGUAGUACUAAAUAAAAAGAGAACAUAUACAUUUUUGUGUUCCCUCUUAUUGCUAAAAUUACUAACAUUGUGCAGAUACUGCAAGGUGUAUAUAAACUUUAACGGGAAAAUAUCUAUCACUUUCAUUCAUUUGAGCCAAAUAUAAUAAUGGACUGGAUAUGUUUUAUAAACAAAUGUUUUCCUUCACUUU